AAUACUGCUAGUUCCGAAAUCAGUGGAGAGUGAAGAUCGAAGAUCGAGGAGGAUCUAUUUCGACGGUGAAACGGGUUCGACCUUAUUUAAUCCUUAAUCGAAAGGAUUUCGUGGACUGUUCACGUGUUAAUCUCUGCGGGAAAGCCGGAGAUUGAGGACAGUGUGAUAAAGGAAAGAACCCCUUGCCGAACAUAUAUUCAUUGUUGCCGGAAUAUGUAACAGGAUGACGUCAGCUUUUCUGUCAAUGCAGAAUCAUCUCACCCACUUCCACGUAGCAAAUCAGUGGUCAGCACUUUACACCACUUAAUAUCUUUGAAUCCAAACCCCAGCUCCUGAAGGGAAAAAGGAAAAUAUGUGCGAAAGUCUGAGAUGCAUAUUCCCACAUAGCUGUCCAGAACACAGCAGGUAACCGUUUGAAUGAAGGUUCCCAGCCCGAGCUGUCGACUGGUUGCUGAGUUCCUCCAACAUUCUCUGUGUGUUUGCUUCUGUUUGUUUAUUGAUUAAAAUAAUCAGACUGGUUCAGUGGAAGAGGAAUUUGUGGAAUGGUCAGAGACAGUUUCAUACAGUAGUUUAUUUACCCAGGAACAUGCCAUUUCAGUUGUAAUCUGUGUAAAGAGGUGGUAUUACAGAGAGUUCUUGCGGUGAAGGAUCCUGAAUAUGAGCAGUGGCAGAUGUUUAAGGAGAAGGUUCGUUAGAGCCGACAUUUAUCCCGAUCAGACAGAGGAAUCACAGGGAGCAAACAACAGUCUGUGGUUAAAAGAGUUCAAGGUAAAUAUUAACUCAGAGAACAAACAAAGAGGCAACGACAGGGUGGACAAAACAGUCGGGAUUUUUCCAGUAACUCAUGAUGAGA